rnacentral:rRNA from 1 species
GCUCAAUGUACAAAUCAAUAGCCGCAGUCUCGUCUGUGCUAAGGUAGCAUAAUCAUUAGCCUUUUAAUUGAAGGAUAGAAUGAAGGGACAACGAAUUGUGAACUGUUCCAAUUUAAUAAAGUAAAAUUAUUAUUAAAGUAAAAAACCUUUAAUUUAUAAUAAGACGACAAGACCCUAUCGAACUUUACAUACGUUUUACUGGGGCGGUAAGAUUAAAAAACCUAAUUUCAAAAAUAAAACAAAUGACCUUAAUUUAUAAAUUAUAUGAACAAGUUACCGUAGGGAUAACAGAGUAAUUUCUUUUUAGAGCUCUUAUUUACAAAGUAGAUUGCUACCUCGAUGUUGAAUUAAUUUUCCUUUUAUAAGCAAAAGUAUAAAAUAGGGAGUCUGUUCGACUCUUAAAUAAUU